rnacentral:rRNA from 1 species
UACGUAGGUGGCAAGCGUUGUCCGGAUUUACUGGGCGUAAAGAGCGCGCAGGCGGUCAUUCAAGUCGGGUGUGAAAGCCCCCGGCUCAACUGGGGAGGGUCAUUCGAAACUGGUCGACUCGAAGGCAGGAGAGGGUAGUGGAAUUCCCGGUGUAGUGGUGAAAUGCGUAGAUAUCGGGAGGAACACCAGUGGCGAAGGCGACUACCUGGCCUGUUCUUGACGCUGAGGCGCGAAAGCGUGGGGAGCAAACAGG